rnacentral:rRNA from 1 species
AGAGUUUGAUCCUGGCUCAGGAUGAACGCUAGCGGCGCGCCUUAUGCAUGCAAGUCGAACGGUCUCUCGCAAGAGAGAUAGUGGCAAACGGGUGAGUAAUAGAUAAAUAACCUGCCUUUAAGUGGGGGAUAACACUUCGAAAGAAGUGCUAAUACCGCAUGUGAUGCUCUUUCAUAAGAAGGAUCAUUAAAACCGCAAGGUGCUUGAAGAGGGGUUUGUCUCCGAUUAGCUUGUUGGUGGGGUAACGGCCUACCAAGGCAAUGAUCGGUAGCUGGUCUGAGAGGAUGGUCAGCCACACUGGAACUGAGACACGGUCCAGACUCCUACGGGAGGCAGCAGCAAGGAAUCUUGGGCAAUGGGCGAAAGCCUGACCCAGCGACGCCGCGUGAGGGAUGACGGCCUUCGGGUUGUAAACCUCUUUUCUCAGGGAAGAAUAAUGACGGUACCUGAGGAAUAAGUCUCGGCUAACUACGUGCCAGCAGCCGCGGUAAUACGUAGGAGGCGAGCGUUAUCCGGAUUUAUUGGGCGUAAAGUGGGCGUAGGUGGUCUUUCAAGUCAGAUGUGAAAUCUCCCGGCUCAACUGGGAGGGGUCAUCUGAUACUGUUGGACUUGAGUAUGGCAGGAGAAAACGGAAUUCCCGGUGUAGUGGUGAAAUGCGUAGAUAUCGGGAGGAACACCAGAGGCGAAGGCGGUUUUCUAGGCCAAAACUGACACUGAGGCCCGAAAGCGUGGGGAGCGAACAGGAUUAGAUACCCUGGUAGUCCACGCCCUAAACACUGGGUACUAGGUAUAGGGAGUAUCGACCCUUUCUGUGCCGAAGCUAACGCUUUAAGUACCCCGCCUGGGGAGUACGGUCGCAAGACUAAAACUUAAAGGAAUUGACGG